rnacentral:rRNA from 1 species
UGCAAGUCGAACGGUGAAGCGAGAGCUUGCUCUCGUGGAUCAGUGGCGAACGGGUGAGUAACACGUGAGUAACCUGCCCCAGACUCUGGGAUAAGCCUUGGAAACGAGGUCUAAUACCGGAUACGAGACGAGAUCGCAUGGUCAUCGUCUGGAAAGAAUUUCGGUCUGGGAUGGACUCGCGGCCUAUCAGCUUGUUGGUGAGGUAAUGGCUCACCAAGGCGACGACGGGUAGCCGGCCUGAGAGGGCGACCGGCCACACUGGAACUGAGACACGGUCCAGACUCCUACGGGAGGCAGCAGUGGGGAAUAUUGCACAAUGGGCGCAAGCCUGAUGCAGCGACGCCGCGUGGGGGAUGAAGGCCUUCGGGUUGUAAACCCCUUUCAGCAGGGAAGAAGCGAAAGUGACGGUACCUGCAGAAGAAGCGCCGGCUAACUACGUGCCAGCAGCCGCGGUAAUACGUAGGGCGCAAGCGUUGUCCGGAAUUAUUGGGCGUAAAGAGCUCGUAGGCGGUCUGUCGCGUCUGCUGUGAAAACCCGAGGCUCAACCUCGGGCCUGCAGUGGGUACGGGCAGACUAGAGUGUGGUAGGGGAGACUGGAAUUCCUGGUGUAGCGGUGGAAUGCGCAGAUAUCAGGAGGAACACCAAUGGCGAAGGCAGGUCUCUGGGCCACUACUGACGCUGAGGAGCGAAAGCAUGGGGAGCGAACAGGAUUAGAUACCCUGGUAGUCCAUGCCGUAAACGGUGGGCACUAGAUGUGGGGCUCUUUCCAUGAGUUCCGCGUCGCAGCUAACGCAUUAAGUGCCCCGCCUGGGGAGUACGGCCGCAAGGCUAAAACUCAAAGGAAUUGACGGGGGGCCCGCACAAGCGGCGG